CUUGCAGGGUACUCGAGUGGCGAACGGGUGAGUAACACGUGGGUGAUCUGCCCUGCACUUCGGGAUAAGCUUGGGAAACUGGGUCUAAUACCGGGUAGGAACCAUCUUUAGUGUGGUGGUUGGAAAGUUUUUUCGGUGUAGGAUGAGCUCGCGGCCUAUCAGCUUGUUGGUGGGGUAAUGGCCUACCAAGGCGGCGACGGGUAGCCGGCCUGAGAGGGUGUACGGCCACAUUGGGACUGAGAUACGGCCCAG
rnacentral:rRNA from 1 species